GCAUGGAAGAAUUCUGCGUUGGCUUUUUCAGUAGCUAAUGCAGUCAGACACUAUGCUAGAGUAUAUUUCCUUAUUACAGCCCUAACAGCCUGCUUUACACAGAGUAGGCAUGUCCAUGGAAGUGGGAUACAU
rfam:Alligator mississippiensis ScZkoYb_184, whole genome shotgun sequence.